AUUGAACGCUGGCGGCAUGCCUUACACAUGCAAGUCGAGCGGCAGCGCGGGGGCAACCCUGGCGGCGAGCGGCGGACGGGUGAGUAAUACAUCGGAACGUGUCCUUUCGUGGGGGAUAACCAGUCGAAAGACUGGCUAAUACCGCAUGAGAUCUCACGAUGAAAGCGGGGGACCGCAAGGCCUCGCGCGAUUGGAGCGGCCGAUGUCGGAUUAGCAGUUGGCGGGGUAAAAGCCCACCAAGGCGACGAUCCGUAGCUGGUAUGAGAGUACGACCAGCCACACUGGGACUGAGACACGGCCCAGACUCCUACGGAGGCAGCAGUGGGGAAUUUUGGACAAUGGGGGCAACCCUGAUCCAGCCAUGCC
rnacentral:rRNA from 1 species